UACGUAGGGGGCAAGCGUUGUCCGGAUUUAUUGGGCGUAAAGAGCGUGUAGGCGGCUGGGUAGGUCCGUUGUGAAAACUCGAGGCUCAACCUCGAGACGCCGAUGGAAACCCUCCAGCUAGAGUCCGGAAGAGGAGAGUGGAAUUCCUGGUGUAGCGGUGAAAUGCGCAGAUAUCAGGAAGAACACCCGUGGCUAAGGCGGCUAUCUGGACGGUUUCUGACACUAAGACUCGAAAGCGUGGGGAGCAAACAGG
rnacentral:rRNA from 1 species